rnacentral:rRNA from 1 species
GCAGUCGAACGAUGAUCUCCAGCUUGCUGGGGGGAUUAGUGGCGAACGGGUGAGUAACACGUGAGUAACCUGCCCUUAACUCUGGGAUAAGCCUGGGAAACUGGGUCUAAUACUGGAUAUUUACCUGUCACCGCAUGGUGGUUGGUGGAAAGCUUUUUUGUGGUUUUGGAUGGACUCGCGGCCUAUCAGCUUGUUGGUGAGGUAAUGGCUCACCAAGGCGACGACGGGUAGCCGGCCUGAGAGGGUGACCGGCCACACUGGGACUGAGACACGGCCCAGACUCCUACGGGAGGCAGCAGUGGGGAAUAUUGCACAAUGGGCGCAAGCCUGAUGCAGCGACGCCGCGUGAGGGAUGAAUGCCUUCGGGUUGUAAACCUCUUUCAGUAGGGAAGAAGCCUUUUCGGAGGUGACGGUACUUGCAGAAGAAGCGCCGGCUAACUACGUGCCAGCAGCCGCGGUAAUACGUAGGGCGCAAGCGUUAUCCGGAAUUAUUGGGCGUAAAGAGCUCGUAGGCGGUUUGUCGCGUCUGCCGUGAAAGUCCGGGGCUCAACUCCGGAUCUGCGGUGGGUACGGGCAGACUAGAGUGAUGUAGGGGAGACUGGAAUUCCUGGUGUAGCGGUGAAAUGCGCAGAUAUCAGGAGGAACACCGAUGGCGAAGGCAGGUCUCUGGGCAUUAACUGACGCUGAGGAGCGAAAGCAUGGGGAGCGAACAGGAUUAGAUACCCUGGUAGUCCAUGCCGUAAACGUUGGGCACUAGGUGUGGGGGACAUUCCACGUUUUCCGCGCCGUAGCUAACGCAUUAAGUGCCCCGCCUGGGGAGUACGGCCGCAAGGCUAAAACUCAAAGGAAUUGACGGGGGCCCGCACAAGCGGCGGAGCAUGCGGAUUAAUUCGAUGCAACGCGAAGAACCUUACCAAGGCUUGACAUGAACUAGAAAGGCCUAGAGAUAGGUCCCCCACUUGUGGCUGGUUUACAGGUGGUGCAUGGUUGUCGUCAGCUCG